rnacentral:rRNA from 1 species
GGCUCAGGAUGAACGCUAGCGACAGGCCUAACACAUGCAAGUCGAGGGGCAGCACAAGGAGCAAUCUGAGGUGGCGACCGGCGCACGGGUGAGUAACACGUACGCAACCUGCCUGUAAGCGGGGAAUAACCCGUUGAAAGACGGACUAAUACCGCAUAAUACUAAAUUACUGCAUGGUAAUUUAUUUAAACAUUUAUGGCUUACAGAUGGGCAUGCGCAUGAUUAGCUAGUUGGAGAGGUAACGGCUCCCCAAGGCAACGAUCAUUAGGGGUUCUGAGAGGAAGGUCCCCCACACUGGUACUGAGACACGGACCAGACUCCUACGGGAGGCAGCAGUGAGGAAUAUUGGUCAAUGGACGAGAGUCUGAACCAGCCAAGUCGCGUGCAGGAAGAAUGUCCUAUGGAUUGUAAACUGCUUUUGCAGGGGAAUAAAGUGCAUCACGUGUGAUGUUUUGUAUGUACUCUGCGAAUAAGGAUCGGCUAACUCCGUGCCAGCCGCCGC